rnacentral:pre_miRNA from 1 species
ACAUCAUUCGGACGGUCGGUCUACCGAGCAAUAUCACCUGGUGGAAGAUCUUCCUUUUGUCGU